rnacentral:rRNA from 1 species
GUCGAGAAUCUUUCACAAUGGGGGCAACCCUGAUGGAGCGACGCCGCGUGGAGGAUAAGGUCUUCGGAUUGUAAACUCCUGUCAUGCGUGAACAAGGUUGCUUGGAUAAUACCUGAGCAAAUUGAUGGUAGCGCAAGAGGAAGAGACGGCUAACUCUGUGCCAGCAGCCGCGGUAAUACAGAGGUCUCAAGCGUUGUUCGGAAUCACUGGGCGUAAAGGGUGCGUAGGUGGCGUGGUAAGUCAGAUGUGAAAGCCCGGGGCUCAACCUCGGAACUGCAUCCGAUACUGCCAUGCUAGAGUACUGGAGAGGUGACUAGAAUUCUCGGUGUAGCAGUGAAAUGCGUAGAUAUCGAGAGGAAUACCAAAGGCGUAGGCAGGUCACUGGACAGUUACUGACACUGAGGCACGAAGGCCAGGGGAGCGAACGGGAUUAGAUACCCGAGUAGUCC